UACGGGGGGGGGCAAGCGUUGUUCGGAAUUACUGGGCGUAAAGGGUUCGUAGGUGGCCUGCUAAGUCAAACGUGAAAUCCCUCAGCUUAACUGGGGAACUGCGUCUGAGACUGGUGGGCUUGAGUGCAGGAGAGGAACGCGGAAUUCCAGGUGUAGCGGUGAAAUGCGUAGAUAUCUGGAGGAACACCGGUGGCGAAGGCGGCAUCCUGGACCGAGAUGACGCUGAGGAGCGAAAGCGUGGGGAGCAAACGGG
rnacentral:rRNA from 1 species